GGGGACGUAGCUCAGCUGGUAGAGCGCCUCGUUCGCAAUGAGGAGGUUGAGGGUUCGACUCCCUUCGUCUCCACCA
rnacentral:tRNA from 1 species